rnacentral:misc_RNA from 1 species
GAUGAAGAACGUAGCGAAAUGCGAUACGUAAUGUGAAUUGCAGAAUUCAGUGAAUCAUCGAGUCUUUGAACGCACAUUGCGCCCCCUGGUAUUCCGGGGGGCAUGCCUGUCCGAGCGUCAUUGCUGCCCUCAAGCACGGCUUGUGUGUUGGGCCUCCGUCCUCCUCCCGGCGGACGGGCCCGAAAGGCAGCGGCGGCACCGCGUCCGGUCCUCGAGCGUAUGGGGCUUCGUCACCCGCUCUUGUAGGCCCGGCCGGCGCUUGCCGACACAUCAAUCUUUUUUCCAGGUUGACCUCGGAUCAGGUAGGGAUACCCGCUGAACUUAAGCAUAUCAAUAAGCGGAGGA